CCACAAUGCAAAAAGAGAGAGAGGAAAAAAAAGCAAAUCAAAAUAAAAUUAAUUCAUUUUAUUAGGAUAGUUUUGUCUAAGAUCUUGUUAAACCCUAUUAAAAUUAUUGAACAGUUUACCUUUCAGAUCAACAACCAUUGGCAUCUUAUAGCCUCCAUUUAAAGAAACAAAAGAGUAAUGAUAUAGGGAAUGUAAACUUCUUCCUGGCAAGUCCUCAAGAGAUUUUAGUUCAGUAAAGAAGACAGAAGUAUAAAUAACACGAGCCACUAUGACCGAUGUAACAAAGAACUAAUUAAUUAGACUAAGGGGUGGAGGGAGUCCUAAAUUGAGGAGCUAAGAAAUACUUCUUGAAGCAAAAGAUGUGGGUUCAAAUUUGGGCUUUGAAGAGAAUCUUUCCAAAGAAACAAACAAACACGCAAACCACACUACAGCAAAUGAGGAUAAAGGCAAAGUGCUGUUUCUUUCUAGUCCUGUAGGGGGCACUAAAAAGGGCAGGUAGAGAAGACGGUUGUAAACAAGGGACCAGGACAGCCUAGGGAAACAGUCACAUGACAUCUGGAGGAGGGAAUGCACCUUACUAAAGCCAAGGGUCUCUCUGUGUAGCCCCGGCAGGCUGUCCUGGAACUUACUCUAUAGACCAAGCUGGCCGCAAACUUGCAGAGAUCUGCCCACCGCUGCAGAGGUGGUGUGCACCACCACCACCCAGUUUAAAUACAUUUUAAAAAGGAGGUUCUUGUAAGGUAAAACUGUCUACAAAACAAGCUUGUGGAGACAGAGAACGUUUCUGACUAUAAAUAUGGCUAGGAAUUCCUUCAGGGGACAUUUGGAGGUUAUAUUGGUGUGGUUACCACGGAUGUCAUAAACUUUGAUAGAGUUCUCCUCUCCUGGGUCUGAUUGUUCCUGGAAAUGAGUCUCCUUUUAUUACAGAAUAGCUGUCUUAAUGAAGUUAUAUGAAGGAGCACACCCAAUGGUUUUGGUUUUUUUUUUUUGUUUGUUUGUUUGUUUUUUUUUUAUGAACAUUAAGGGAGAUUUUUUUUUCUUUUUGAUCUUUUUAAACUGUGUUCAGUAUUCCAUUUAAGCAAGCCUUUACCCAUUCUACAGACCUUUUUAAGGAGUUAAAAGGAGGUGAAGCAUUGAACAAUAUUUUUAUUACUACCCCACAUUUCUAUAGAUGUUCAUCUUCUGUUUCAUUUGGUCACUUGAAGACAUAGAGAGAAAAAUACCAUUAGGUCAUUCAGUGGAAAGGAAUCAUUCAUGGUAUUUAAGAACGAAAGUCACUCAGCCAAACAUCGAUGUCAGUUAAGGACCUGGAUGUGACUCUCACAUACCAUAGCAUCCUCAGCACCAUGGAGGUGAAAGUUUUAAGUGCAGGCGAUGUUAAAUUGUCAAAUUGGAAAGGCCAAGACAAGAGGGAUCGACUACUACCCGGUCAGAUACAGGAAACUCUCAAAGCCCCCGUGUGCACUUGAGCUGAGCUUCAAAGCCUCUGGGAGCUCUAAUGACCCAUGGUCACCAAAGUCAUCAGACCAACAGAAAGACUCAACAGAGCAUCACUAAUGGACUUGCUCCCAAUCUUAACAGACUGAAGCCAACACAGAUUUCAGCCCACGCAGAGGAGAGAGCAGAAGCCCUGAAUACAAAAGACAAAGAGACUGGCAGGGGUGGAGAAAGGGGGAGUGUGGACGCCCAGUCACCACGCUGUGGUUAUUUACAGAUUUUAGGACCUCAAGGAAACUCCUCAAAUCUCUCUGAGCCCCAGUUUAUAACUGUAUAAACACAACGAGUUAUUUUUUUUUUCAAGUUGGUAGUGUUGCUCUUAUAAGCGAGAUGCAUAAAUCUUAGUACUUGUUACAUUUUAGGUUAAUGUUGAUUAUACAUUUUUAUUAAACUCCAUAGCAAUGAUGUCACAGUGCUUCCUUGUAUCUACAUACAUUUUCUCUUUUAAGAUUGUUCUGCAUCUAACGUUUAAAUUCUCCUUUCUAAAAUUAACUCUGGGAUCUAGAGACCAGAAUAACAGAAGCCUCGCAUGAUGUGUUUCCAGGAGCAAGCUACUGAGAAAAAAAAAAAGCUAAAUAUAGCCAAUGCUAAUGGGAGAGAAAUGGGAAUUUGUGGACAUAGAGGAAUAUUAUGGCUUAUUAUGGCUAUAAAAUUUUAAAGAAAUCCUGGUGUAAAACUUCAAGUGACAAAUUUUCCUAUAAAACAUAAUCAUGUUUGAUUCAAAAAGAAACCUCUGGAAUUCCGGGUUUGAAAGACUUUCGUAUUAUGGCUGGUUAAUUUCAGUUCUGCUAGACCAUCCCCAGUCCUCACCCUGGAGACCUUUCCUUAUCUAAACAAUCAUUUCCAUUUCAAAGAAGCCCCACGCUGACUCUUUUUGUAACAACUGAGCCCUAACAGUGUGGUUCCUAUGGUUACCAAGAAUUCUAAUUUCAUUUCCUCAUUAUGCGUUUUUUAUCUUGAAAGAUUGCACAGGGUUCCCCCCUCCCUUCCCCUCCCCCCUCCCAACAGGCCACUCUUUGAGCCACAUGCUUUCUUGCUACUAUUUUCUUUCUGCAAGUUUCUCAUACCCAAUCCUUAUUGAAAUGUCCUGGUUUGUUCCCAUUUUUUAAUUUAAAAACUUACCUGCCCUGAUGUCUCUACCCUGAUGACAUUUCAGAUUUAAGGCAAAGAAGCAGAGCUAAAGGUCGGUGUUAGACCCAAGUUAGAGCCGGCUCCUUCUUUCUGAGGUCCAAGGUUUAGCUCCAUAAUUAUUGGGAUAAGGGAAGGAUCAGGAUGGAACCCUCGGGACUGGGCCUUUGGACUCACUUGUUAGAGUUUCUCAACAAUGAACAGAUUUGAGUUCUUAUAGGUCUAGAAUAUGGAUUUUCUACAAAGUCAGAAUUAUAGGUUGGAGUCCAUGGACAAGCUUCAGAAAGGGCCAUCAACGUGCAGUGUGUGUGUGUGUGUGUGUGUGUGUGUGUGUGUGUGUGUGUAGUCUGUCCUGCCUCAUCUCAUUGUUCAUAGUACACGUAUUGAUCAUAAUACAUGAUCCUUUUGUUUUAAUCUCCCAGAGUCACUGUUUUGGAGUGGUUGAAAGGGAACAGGUUAGGAUGGACCAGUUGGGGACCAGUCUUUACUCUUGGCCUAGAGGUUGCUUAACUUCUAGGAGGUGCUUCUUCUAGCCUAACUCAUGCCUCCUCCUUUAGAGGUUUAAAACAACAACAACAAACUUUUGACUUAGGACAUAUUCGGUGUUUUUGAUGUCAGCAAGCUCAGUCCUCACCCUGAGGACUCCGUAGCUAGUGUGUGUCUAACUGUCCUCGCUAGUAAACUCGGUACCAUGUUUUCACUUUGCAGGCUCCAGGAAUUGGAUGCUGUCAUUUCAUCCUCUGUCCUCAGAUUCCUUGUCGAUUUCUGUCUUUUUUCAUAUCGCCAGUUUCAUCUUAGUGGAGUGUGGGAAGGAAAUAAAGAUGGAAACAUAUGUUCUCAGGCUUAGCAGACUCUUUUCCCUUUUGUUUUAGUUUAGCAUUUGCUUAAUAGGACAUUGAAAUUCAGGAGGAUUUUCUUAAAAACCAAACAAAAUUCUUUUACUUUAGUGCAACUAUUUAAUAAAGUAUUUUUCAAAUGUUUAUGUAUUUUGUGAUGACUUACUCAU
rnacentral:lncRNA from 1 species